rnacentral:tmRNA from 4 species
GGGGGUGAUCGGUUUCGACUUCGACGGUUGAUAUGAGAGAAGCGAGCCGUGGUCUCCGGAGCCACGUUAAAGAGCCGGAACACUUAGAAACGCCAAUGUCAAAACUAAUGACCUGGCGCUCGCUGCCUAAUUUAGGUAACGGGUAACGGCCUCACUGCCUCAGCCUCUCGGGUAGCGGUGGCCCUCAUCUGAGAGGCUUGCCUUCAGUCAUCGCCAGUGUGAUUGAAGGGACUUUUAGCUGGAUAAGGUUGCUUGAUCUGGGGUCGCUACCAACUCGCAACCCGACAACUUGCAAAGCGACUGCGCUCGGAGAAGACUCAUUGAAACGCCGGGGGACGCGGGUUCGAUUCCCGCCACCUCCACUA